CAACGUCUAGAGAGAGACUGUGUCCUCCUGGCCCACUGCCUUCUUCUAAAGGCCAGCUGGGCCCUGACUGGGGCAUGGCCGCAGCUGUGGCUGUUUCCCCAGUCAGCCGAGGCUGGCUGCUUUCCCUAGCAGCAGCCCUCUUGCAGCCUCAGCCCUCUCCCAGGGCUGAUUUCAAGCCCUUCAGGGCAGGAGUGGGUGACCACCCCACUGCAGUCUAGAAAAGACUUUAUUCACAGACAUGGGAAGAGAGAUGGCAAGGGUCUGGUGACUCAGAAUAAUGGCUAAGAAAAAGCGAAUGAGCUGGUCGUAAAUCCCAGAACUCAUCAUUACCCCAUGCAGUUCAUUGCUACUGGAUAGCAUGGAGGCCAAGCAAUCAGUAAGAUUUGAGAAGGGAUUCUCCAGCUAUACAUGUAAUGGGAACAGCCACUGUUAUAUGGGCGAUAAACCUUUGUGCUUCAGGGUAUAAGCCAACCUCUCACUGAAGGUGUUAAAAAGAAACUCUGUGUAGGGGCAGGUUAUUCUGUAAUAGUCCAAUGUGAGGUUUCUUGUACCUUACUCUGAAACAGCUGGUAUGAGACAAGGUACUGGAUGAAAUG